rnacentral:rRNA from 1 species
AAUGAACGUUGGCGGCGUGGAUUAGGCAUGCAAGUCGCGCGACAAGGAACCUUCGGGUUCUGGAGGAGCGGCAAACGGGGUAGUAAGGCAUCGGAACGUACCCUCUUGUUGGGAAUAGCCGCGGGAAACUGCGAGUAAUGCCCAAUAAUCCCUACGGGGCAAAGGUCCGCCGCAGGAGGAGCGGCCGAUGUGAUACCAGCUAGUUGGUGAGGUAAUGGCUCACCAAGGCUUAGACGUCUAGGGGGUGUGAGAGCAUGGCCCCCACCACUGGGCGUGAGAUACUGCCCACGACACCUACGGGUGGGCUGCAGUCGAGAAUCUUUCGGCGAAUGGGCGGCAAGACCU